GCCGGAGCCUGGGAUCUGGCCGCGGAGGCCGUGGAUCGUCGCGUGGACGCCUUGCGGGGAGGCAUCGAGCAAGGACCAAGUGGGGAAAGGAGGGGGGAGGGGAUGCCGGAAGAGAUGCCCGGGGGCGGUCCCGUUGAGCGCUCCUUUAAGAACAAGGAUACUGCGAAGACACAAGACCCUUCCUCUAGCGCCAAUCCUGUUGGUGCAAAAAUCUGCUUGCAUCGGAGAAGCUGGAGUCGAG
rnacentral:lncRNA from 1 species